UAAAGAUUUGCGAGGUGUCUGC
rnacentral:siRNA from 1 species